CCUACGGGUGGCAGCAGUGGGGAAUAUUGCACAAUGGGGGAAACCCUGAUGCAGCAACGCCGCGUGUGUGAGGAAGUAUUUCGGUAUGUAAAGCUCUAUCAGCAGGGAAGAGAAUAGUAGGUACCUGACAAUGAAGCCCCGGCUAACUACGUGCCAGCAGCCGCGGUAAUCCGUAGGGGGCAAGCGUUAACCGGAUUUACUGGGUGUAAAGGGAGCGUAGACGGAAAGGGAAGUCAGAAGUGAAACCCCAAGGCUCAACCAUGGAACUGCUUUUGAAACUGUCAAGCUAGAGUACGGGAGAGGUAAGUGGAAUUCCUGGUGUAGCGGUGAAAUGCGUAGAGAUUAGGAGGAACACCAGUGGCGAAGGCGUCCUACUGGACCGAAACUGACGUUGAGGCUCGAAAGCGUGGGGAGCAAACAGGAUUAGAUACCCGAGUAGUC
rnacentral:rRNA from 1 species